UACGUAGGGGGCAAGCGUUGUCCGGAUUUACUGGGCGUAAAGGGCGCGUAGGCGGCCUGCUAAGUCGAACGUGAAAUCCCUGGGCUCAACCCAGGAACUGCGUCCGAUACUGGUUGGCUUGAAUCCGGGAGAGGGAUGUGGAAUUCCAGGUGUAGCGGUGAAAUGCGUAGAUAUCUGGAGGAACACCGGUGGCGAAGGCGACAUCCUGGACCGGUAUUGACGCUGAGGAGCGAAAGCCAGGGGAGCAAACGGG
rnacentral:rRNA from 1 species